rnacentral:tRNA from 1 species
UCCGGCGUCGUUCAAGGGCAGGACAGAGGACUUUGAAUCCUCCAAUCAUGGUUCGAAUCCAUGCGCCGGAA